UGGGGAAUUUUGGACAAUGGGCGAAAGCCUGAUCCAGCAAUGCCGCGUGUGUGAAGAAGGCCUUCGGGUUGUAAAGCACUUUUGUCCGGAAAGAAAUCCUUGGCUCUAAUACAGUCAGGGGAUGACGGUACCGGAAGAAUAAGCACCGGCUAACUACGUGCCAGCAGCCGCGGUAAUACGUAGGGUGCAAGCGUUAAUCGGAAUUACUGGGCGUAAAGCGUGCGCAGGCGGUUUGCUAAGACCGAUGUGAAAUCCCCGGGCUCAACCUGGGAACUGCAUUGGUGACUGGCAGGCUAGAGUAUGGCAGAGGGGGGUAGAAUUCCACGUGUAGCAGUGAGAUGCGUAGAGAUGUGGAGGAAUACCGAUGGCGAAGGCAGCCCCCUGGGCCAAUACUGACGCUCAUGCACGAAAGCGUGGGGAGCAAACAGGAUUAGAUACCCUGGUAGUCCACGCCCUAAACGAUGUCAACUAGUUGUUGGGGAUUCAUUUCCUUAGUAACGUAGCUAACGCGUGAAGUUGACCGCCUGGGGAGUACGGUCGCAAGAUUAAAACUCAAAUGAAUUGACGGGGUCAUA
rnacentral:rRNA from 1 species